rnacentral:rRNA from 1 species
GACGAACGCUGGCGGCGUGCUUAACACAUGCAAGUCGAACGGAAAGGCCCUGCUUUUGUGGGGUGCUCGAGUGGCGAACGGGUGAGUAACACGUGAGUAACCUGCCCUUGACUUUGGGAUAACUUCAGGAAACUGGGGCUAAUACCGGAUAGGAGCUCCUGCUGCAUGGUGGGGGUUGGAAAGUUUCGGCGGUUGGGGAUGGACUCGCGGCUUAUCAGCUUGUUGGUGGGGUAGUGGCUUACCAAGGCUUUGACGGGUAGCCGGCCUGCGAGGGUGACCGGCCACAUUGGGACUGAGAUACGGACCAGACUCCUACGGGAGGCAGCAGUGGGGAAUAUUGCACAAUGGGCGGAAGCCUGAUGCAGCAACGCCGCGUGCGGGAUGACGGCCUUCGGGUUGUAAACCGCUUUCGCCUGUGACGAAGCGUGAGUGACGGUAAUGGGUAAAGAAGCACCGGCUAACUACGUG